rnacentral:rRNA from 1 species
CAAAACACCACACAACACAACACACAAAACACAACACCAAAACCACCCAACCCAACACCGAACACCCACACACAAACCACCAACAAACAAAUUUUUUUUUUAAACUCUCUCUACGAGGAAAAGAAACCAACAGGGAUUGCCUUAGUAGCGGCGAGUGAAGCGGCAAAAGCUCAAAUUUGAAAUCUGGCACUUUCAGUGUCCGAGUUGUAAUUUGAAGAAGGUAUCUUUGGGUCUGGCUCUUGUCUAUGUUUCUUGGAACAGAACGUCACAGAGGGUGAGAAUCCCGUGCGAUGAGAUGUCCCAGACCUAUGUAAAGUUCCUUCGAAGAGUCGAGUUGUUUGGGAAUGCAGCUCUAAGUGGGUGGUAAAUUCCAUCUAAAGCUAAAUAUUGGCGAGAGACCGAUAGCGAACAAGUACAGUGAUGGAAAGAUGAAAAGAACUUUGAAAAGAGAGUGAAAAAGUACGUGAAAUUGUUGAAAGGGAAGGGCUUGAGAUCAGACUUGGUAUUUUGUAUGUUACUCUCUCGGGGGUGGCCUCUACAGUUUACCGGGCCAGCAUCAGUUUGAGCGGUAGGAUAAGUGCAAAGAAAUGUGGCACUGCUUCGGUAGUGUGUUAUAGUCUUUGUCGAUACUGCCAGCUUAGACUGAGGACUGCGGCUUCGGCCUAGGAUGUGGCAUAAUCGAAACUU